CUCAAAGUGCGCACAAAGGAGAAAUGUGCGCCGUGCUUCUGCUGCGGGUGUCGGUACUUGAGCGGAUCACGCAGCCGCCGAAGACUUUCUGCUGCAAGUGGAGAAAGGAGAAGAAACGUCUCAAGUCCCGGCGCUGAGAGCGCUGCUCACCGAGCGGCUAACGACAGCGGCGGAGGUGAUCGUCGCUGUGUUUGAGGAAACCGUGGCGGAGUACAAAGACCGAGUGGAGCGGUCAGAGCGGGAGAUCUGCCGCCAGAGGAGGCUGCUCGAUGCCGUGAUGAAGCCUGAAGUCAGCAUUCCUGCAGCUGGUGGUGAGUAAAGAAGAGGUUCAUCCUGAGCAGCAGCAGUGGAGCCCCCUUGUGGACCAGGAGGACCCAGAGCCCCCCCACAUUAAAGAGGAACAGAUAGAACUGAGGAUGAGUCAGGAGGAAGAAGCUAAUAUCAAGUUCACAUUGACUCCUGUCACUGUGAAGACUGAAGAAGAUGAAGAGAAACCCCAGUCGUCACAGUUUCAUCAGAGUCAGACUGAGGAGAACAGAGCGGAUUUAAAUCCUGCUCCUUGCACACAAAUCCUUAAUCAAGUCCUGAUGUAAUAAAUAAAGAGCUUAUAACACUG